GCCUGAGUUUUGUCUACACUCUCCUGUGGUAAACUCCAGCUCCAGGCUCACACACUCUCACAAUGCCUCACUCACCGCCUCACAGCAGCCCAGCUUCAGCACUCUCCCUCGUUGCCCUCACUCUCCCUGGACCUGUGGAUUCCCCUUUACCCCAGCACCUUUACCUGCACAAUAAACCUGUUAAAACCGCUCCUUCAUUUCCGUAUACUGGGUUCAAACCACCACUUUACAUAACACUUGAUAUACUAUACAAUAUGUCUUAUUGUUAAACCCUCCCUGAUGAAAGAAAAUCUUGAAAACAAAACUAAGCCCUAACUUGAAAUUGAGACAAUGUCAAACAGAUCAGAUUAAUUGUUGGCUGAAAUAAAAUCUUCGAGUUGCUGAAAAGGUUAUAAAA